GAAGGGAUGAGUCAGCCUAUCUGGGAUUUUAAACAGCCAGUUCCAGGGACACCGUACAACCCAAAGCCAUGCCUCUAGCAAGUCACUAUUAAAAAUAUUCUCUAUUGGGCAAGACCUCCUAAUGUGUCAGCCUUGACUGGUUCCUUUUAAGUAAGAGGAAACAUUAGGAAGCAAAAACAACGGAAUUAUUACGGAAAGCAGUGAUAAGGUUAUUUCCUUCAUUUGCCUUUAAAAAAUCUGGUGUUUUUUUUUUUUUUUUUUUUUUUCCUUGAGAGCCUUGGAAGUUUUACAUGAACAAGCAGAUAUAACUCAUUCUACCAAGGACAAAGUGAAGCCGAAUCAACUUUCUCUCUGAAAAAGCUAAUAAUAUGUAAAUGGAUUUGCAAAUAUCAGUGGCUAUACCGUUUACACGCACUUGAGUGAUGCUAUAAGCUUUUUCUGCACAGGCAUAAAGAACAUGAUAUUAUUUCCAUAAUUGCAAAGAUGUAGACACAACAGGACAAAGAUAUUUUGAAAGAAAAAAUGAGAAAUUUUGUAAAUUUUGGUAGGGCCUUUUAAUGCCUUAUAAGUUACAUGUUGAAAAUCGGUUCCCUGAACAUUGUUCUAAUGUUAGUAAUAGAAUGCUAGAAGUGAUACUUACCUCUGAGUCUAAACACUUCGUUUAAUUAUUCUUAAGAUGUGAAUUUCAGUACAAGUGAGUAUGUACAAAAAUAUUAGUGAUGAAUGGAUUAAAGUAGCGGAAAGUGCAGGUCACUGUUCAUAGUAGGAGCCCGGCAAUGGUUAGCUGAACUUGACUGAUGUAGAUAAGAGGGAAAACGCGUUAAACCCUCCUGAAAACAGAAGGUCCCCGGAAGGAGUCCUUUUUCCUAACUUGAUUAAGGAUUUAGGGUGAUUAUUUCUCUUCUUUAGAUUUUACAGUGUCUGUUUAAAUUUUCUGCCCUGUUAGAUAUGACUUUGUCAUUAUAAUCUGAAAUAUAUGUAUUUUUAACGUUGGAAAGACAAACUGCUUCCUCAUAUGGGCUUUUAAGGUAGUGCUGCAUGAAAUGCCUGUGCUUUGACUCUGCUGUCACAGCUCCACACACAGCGUCUCCUGAAGUGAAGUGCCAUGUGCAGCAUGUGGGCACAUAUACACCAUUACUCCAGCUUACACCGGAAAUAAAACCCUGAAAACGAGUUACCAGAGUCGCAGCAGGGCAUCUUCCAUCACCAUCACUCACAGGUUUAGUGGGCACGUCUGCAUCUUUUCAGUGUCCGCCCUCUGUCAAUGUCUGCCCUUCCCGUCUGCUCCUCAGAGAGGGACUCACAGGGAGAGGGUGACAACAGAGGCAUGAAUACUAGAAACUGUGGUUCACUGGGGGCCACCCAUGACUUCCUGCUAUAAAGAAACUCCAUUAAAGUUUUAUUAUGUGUUCUCUUGGCUCUCAGGAAGCAUUGCUAGUUACCAUGAGAAUUCUGAUUUUUGCCCCCAGUGGUUGAAGCCAUCGCGUGCAUUUAGGUAAAGGAGUGAAAAGGUCAGGCAGGUCUCUUAGGCAGCCCCGUAAAUGAUAGAUUUCAGAAGAACAAGACUAUUUAAUGAGGCCAAUUCUAAAGUAGUACAAUAACAUUGAGGUACGAAGUGAUUUGAGCCUGAAAUUAUGCUGCUUUUAUUUUUUUCCCUAAAAUUUCCUUUGGUUUCCUUUUAACUCUGGAAGAGGGUGAAGAAGUAAAGAUUAGGGGGAAAGAGAAGAAUGGUAUGAUUCUCUGUGUAGCGACGCCAUUCGCUCAGAUGAGGGAGGCACAGGAAACUUUGUCUUUUAAAGAUGUCUUGACAUUGAGGUUUCUUUGGACGUACAAGGAGAAAUAUGUCCUGGUCAUAUCCUGCCUGGACUUUGAACAGAGAGAGAUCUAGAAUGGUGAUGGAGGUUUAGGAAUCAUUUGCGUACUGAUGGUUUUUAAAGCCUUCGGAGAGAGGGAGCUCACCCGAGGAAGGCACAGAAGGGUGCUAUAGAGAAGGGAGGAGUAGCAGAAUGCACUGGGGGCAUUCGCAGACUCGGCGUUCGUUAUGCUGCCCUGCCUCUCAAUGGAGAAGGAAGCACACGUGCUUUGAAAAAGCUCCCAGGGCCUGCUUUUGUAUGCCUUCUUCUCCUGAGAGGGAUGUGGGCAUUGCUACUGUUUCAAAAGUUCUCCAGGAGCUUCUGAGGUGCACCCAGGAUUAAGAACCGCUCAAGGAAAGUGAAAACAGAAGAAUGAGCAUUCCAUUUAGGGGAAGCUAUAGUCAAAGGAAAGAGGCCAGACCUGAUAAUGUUAUCUGCAGAUGACAGGAACAAAUAUACAGUAUUAGCAACGGUCACAAAGUUUUUCCAGACAUGUUUUUAAUUUUUUUUUUUAAGUUUUACUGAAGUACGGUUGAUUUAUAAGGUCGUGAUCAUUCUGCCACAUAACGAAGUGAUUCAGUUGGGCAGGCACACAUACCCACUCUCUUUCCGAGUCUCUUUCCACAUAGAUUAUCACAGACUACAGGGUAGAGUUCUUUGUGCUACACAGUGGGUCCCUGACAGCCAGUCACUCUAUAUACCUCAGUUGCGUAUGCUAAUCCCAAAUGUGCCACAGAUUUAAGGAUAACUUUAUGUAUGUAAUUUCUGUGAAGGACUCACAGCCAUGCAUGGGGUUCUUCCACUGCUAGUAUACCCUCUGUCAUUCAAUAGCCACAUUUUUUUCUAGAAAUACACGUGUUUCUAGUACUUCACAUUGAUUUGGUGACUGAAUCUGACCAUAUUUCAGAAACUUUCAAACAUGCUCUCCUGUGUUUCUAUAGCUCUCUUUUUCCCUAGCUUGCUCUUCUCUCUUUUCUUUCCUUGACGUUGCACCUCAUCCUUCUAAAUUUUGGCAUCCUUUAGAAAAGUUCCUGUCUCCAGCUUAUUCUUCCUCCCUGGGUUCCUGGGUGUUUACUUUAGCUUUAGCUGUUUAUGUUUGUUCUCAAGUGCAUCUUUCAAGAUGUGCAGUCUAGUCCAUGUCCAAUUAGAUCCUGAUGGCAAAUCAAAUUUAAGUGUGAACUGUGGAAUUUUCCUUGGCCUUUUAAAACCUCUCCUAACAGCCAUCUCUCUCAUCAUCUCUUUUUACCUUUUACCUUUUUAACUGAUCAGUUAGGAGAAUGAAAAUGCCAAGCCUUACUGCGUCCUCCGAAGCCUCUCUGCACUUCAGUUGCUCUGUGAAAUGGAGACAUAGCAGUAUCUUCCUCUGGGGGCAAUUAAGAGGCUUAUAGAAGGCAGUAGACAUAAAUUACCACAUUUUGGCAUUGACCAGUUAGUGAGCACUCAGUAAAUAUUAGUUGUCAUUACUUCCUAAUGACACCUCCUUUUCCCCCCAAAGUUUACAAGCUUUUCUAAAUGAAUUAACCAAAAUAUAAUUAAUGGGAGCAAUACCCACAAGUACACAGUGGCACAUACACACUAGCACAUAGGCACACACAUAGGUAUCCUGAUUUGGGUGGUGGUUACACAGGCACAUACAUGUUCCCAAGCUUAUCGAGCUCCGUACCUACGAUGUAGGCGUUUUCUAGAUGUGAGCCAUGCCUCAGUCUGCUACUUGUGGAAAAAAAUGUAAUGAGGAGCAGAGUAGUAGAGCAGUUAAAAGUGUGGGUUCUGGAACUAGAUUUAGGUUUACAUCCUGGCUCUAGUACCAACUAGCUGUGUGAUGUGAGGCACGAGAAGGCCUGUGCUUUUGUUUCCUCAUUAGUUGGAUCUGGAUAAAAGUACCUAUCUCAUAGGGUUGCUAUGAUGACUGCAGGAAGUAAUCUAAAAUAGUGCUUGGCGUAUCCUAAAUAGCAUAUAAAUAUUGUUUUUAAAUAUAGUUUCUUAAAAUAACAGCAUUGCGUGUAUCUAUGAUCUAUAUCCUUUUCUUUGAAUUGCCCCUAUCUUUACUUGGGUAGUGUCUUUUUUUUAAUGCAGCGAAUAAGCCUUUAUACGUUUUGCUACCUCUUUGUAUAUCCAACGUUUAGCAUGGCACUACAUUUACCAAGAGCAAAAUCAACAUUCAUUGACUAACUAAAUGUUGACCCAGAAGGUCAUGUCGGAUCAAAAUAUGACAAUUUUUAUUGGAAAAACUGAUUAAAUUGAGGAUUUCUAAUGAGUAGUGACAUUGUAUAUGACUGAUUUUAACCAAAUUUCCCCAAAGCAUAAUUAUUCCUUUAGCAGCAAAUUUAAAAAUGGUAUGAAAAUAAGUUUGUGAGAAGUAAACAGAUUUUAUUUUAACCUCAACUAUUCUACUCAACCUUUCAGAUGCCAGAAAAUUAUAGUAAUAAUAAAUUGGAAUAACGUCAGAUGAUGGAAAAUUCAAACCCACAUGGACAGUGGUCUCUUGUAAAUAGAGUGGCUGUGGAUCUGGAGCUUUAAACAUUUAAAUCUGAAAGGCAAAUGUCCGAGUGUCUAGGGACUCAUAGUGGCCUUUUUCAUUAUGCGUUCGAAUUGUUUAAACCACAUUUUAAGGUGGAGUGUAAAACCUGUUUGAUCUAACAGUCAUUUGCAUGAAUUAGGAGAAUGUCAUUGUGCCUUAGGAGAGAAUUACAGACUAUAUUUUUUCAAUUUUAGCUGAUGGCAAUCAUAUUAUUAAUGUGACAUUGUCUCUUCUCUCCGUUAUACAGUAAAAGGAACAAGAUGCCACUUGAUUCCUAAUUCUCGGUUUGGGAACUGAUAAUUACCACUUAUGGCAUACCAGUUAUUUUUCAGUUCCUGUCCUUGGUGGAUUUCACAGGUUUUAUUAAACCGUGGCAGUAUGAUUAUUAUCCCUGUGUAGACAUAAGAACACUAACAAUAUAGCUCUCAAUUUAAAGCUCGAACAUCCUUCACUGGGUGUGUGAACAUUUUCCUCUUUAAUGUGAUGUUUCCAACAUUUAGAAAAUUGACGUACAGAACCAGAAUAAUUUAAAAACUGUGAAAUAACUAUAUAGAAAGUGAUAGGAUGAUAUGUAAUAAAAUAAAGGCCAUUAUAGAAGUGAAAAAAUACAUUUUACUGGUUGCAAUAAAUCUGAUUCUGAAAAAAAAAAGAAAAUGUUUAUGAUGUAUAUGGGGAGAGGGAGAGAGUUAUCCUCUUACAAAGUAAAUUUGAAGCAGUACGUUAAAUAGUUUGGUUUGAGGGGAGGUGUAUCAGGAAACUAAUAUUUAAAAUAUUCAAAUAUCUUAUGGACAGUGAAAAGUCCUACCAGGCUUUUUUCAAAGAUAAGAACUUAAAAGAGUGCAGUAGUUCUAACAUAGGUCAUGAGAAUAUCUCUGGAUACGACAUAGCUCCAUCUUUUUGUAUAAAACUUGCCUUUCAAGGGGUGAACAAUACUCUCUCUAUAUCUUAUUUUGGUCAGUGAGAUAGGAAAUACAUAUGACAAGGAACUUAUUUUAUUUUUAAAAAUUAGCACUUGGGACUAAGAUGUCUUUUGGUUCCAAACUAGUGUUGCACUAAUUUGUGCUGAUUUUAAUAUCGUUAGACUUUGUCAAAUGAAUGGGUAGCUAAACCCGUCCCUUUGUUAGUGGUCAGUGUUACAUCGUCCGUUCUGCACGCAGCUGAGGCUGUCUCUCGUCCUCUCAUUAUCCCAGUAAGAGUUUCGACCCCUUAGCCAGGUAGUAAUCACUGGUUCUUGAGAAAGCUGGGAACGUUUGAGUCAGUCAGACGAGCGAGAGAAACAAAGACAGUGAUAAAGGGAGCAACGAGCAUUUAGUGGAACAAAUUGCCUGUGAGAAGCCUGGGGAUUGGCCCAGGAGCCUUGGAAAGCGGAGCUCGGUGACAGGACGCCUGCAGGAGAAGCCAGCCACAUCUUCAGGUGGGGAGGAAGGGGCUUGCAAGAUGUCAUGGUCUUCUCUAUAAAUUCAGAAACAGGUCCUCUGCUCGGUCAGUACACCUUGAAUGAGUUGAGGGAUUUAGUGAGGGAAGAAAAACUGAGUUUUAAUGGGCACGGCAAAAUUCAGCGUUAGGCAUGGAGACGAAUGCGGGAAGGAGUCACUGAGGAGCAACGGUGAGGUCUUGGCGUGUUAUGACGCGAUCAGGAUGGCUCUGCAAGCUUUCCAGUGGCCCCUGACAGAGAAGGACAAAGGGAAAUACAAUUCCACACUAAGUGAGACGACAGCGGACUCUCAAGUGGGGGGGAGACCAAGGAAUUAUGUGGGAAAGGUCAGAUUCGGAAGGGGUCAGGAAGGUCUGAUUCGGAAAUCUUAGACCAGAAACCCAUACGCUCCAUAAAGUUAGCAAAAUACUAUGGGCAAAAUAUGGGACCAUAUUCUAGGAGCCGCUAGUAAAAGGUGGUAACCUGCUGCCCUAGUCUCUGAUAAUAGCAGUCGAAAGAAAAACUGUCAGGCCAGUAGAGCUUCCACCAUUACUCUGUUAGUGGAGGGCUCUCUGUGUUGUAUAUUCUGCCUGUUUGGGGAACGGGCAAACAUUUUUUUAGAGAUAGAGGGUAUAUGCUUUCCACUUUGUGGGCGUAUUUUCUAUCACAGCUGCUAAAAUCUACCAUCAUAGCAAAAAAACAGGUUUCGAAAAUCUGAAAAUGUGUUUAUGUGAAAACUACAGGUGGUUGCCCAGAAAC
rnacentral:lncRNA from 1 species